UGGCUUAGUGGUAGAGUGCUUGCCUUGCAUGCAUGAGGUCCUGGGUUCGAUUCCUCAG
rnacentral:tRNA from 1 species